GACGAUCGCUGGCGGCGUGCUUAACACAUGCAAGUCGAACGCUGAAGCUCAGCUUUUGUUGGGUGGAUGAGUGGCGAACGGGUGAGUAACACGUGAGUAACCUGCCUCCUUCUUUGGGAUAACGCCCGGAAACGGGUGCUAAUACUGGAUAUUCACUGGUCUUCGCAUGGGGGUUGGUGGAAAGGGUUUUUCUGGUGGGGGAUGGGCUCGCGGCCUAUCAGCUUGUUGGUGGGGUGAUGGCCUACCAAGGCUUUGACGGGUAGCCGGCCUGAGAGGGUGACCGGUCACAUUGGGACUGAGAUACGGCCCAGACUCCUACGGGAGGCAGCAGUGGGGAAUAUUGCACAAUGGGCGCAAGCCUGAUGCAGCGACGCCGCGUGAGGGAUGGAGGCCUUCGGGUUGUGAACCUCUUUCGCUCAUGGUCAAGCCGCAACAAUGGUUGUGGUGAGGGUAGUGGGUAAAGAAGCGCCGGCUAACUACGUG
rnacentral:rRNA from 1 species